AGCUCAACCUCAACUCUUCUUCUUCAUGAAUUGUCUCUCCGACAACGCUCUCCGAUCGUAAUCGUUUACUUUAGCAAUUUUAAUUUUUAUUAUUACAAAAGUGCUUUUUGGGAUGUAAGCUCUUUGAGUAAUGUCACUACUCCAAAUUUUAAAUGAUGGAAGCUUACUGCUUACUUGCUUGUUUGAUAAUGUGAGGACUGCUGAGUCUUCAUGUGUUUUUGUUCCUAGCUGUGCUUAAGUAAAUUGAUUGAUAACAUUUUUAAUAAUGGACGCAAGAAAUAACUGAUUAGGAAACUUAAUCGUAAAUUGUGAGUACUUUCGUUUUAAUUUUUGAUAGUUUCCUUUAAAAUUUUAAGUUUGAAGCUGCUAUGACCAGGGAUUGAUAGUAGGAAAACAAAACAAAGCAUUCAAGGCGCAAUGACCGAGUUUAAUUCUGAGCCCUGGUUCACCAUUUUUGCGUCUCCGCUCUGUACGACUGGCUAAAUGAUCUGCUAUAGACGGUUUACAUAAAAGUAUUUCAUCAAUUCGAGACGAAGAUUCAACCACAGGGCCAACGAAAAUCAAGAAGAAGCCAUGGGAAGUGCACAGAAACCGAAGUUCCGAGUGGAUCUACAGAUUUAAAAACAUAUCAAAAUGGCGCCAGAGCCACUGGAUAUCUCUGAGCAUGAGUUGCUCUUCAAAGCAACCAAUUUAUGCAAACUGGCCUCCAUAGAUUUGUCUCAGGUAUGAGUUAUGAAUAUUUUUCAUCAAGUAAAAUCUUUUUGUUAAUCAAUGAGAACUAGAAUACUUUUUUAGGUAAAAUAGCUCAUAUUUUUUCUGUUCUUUUUUUCUUAUAUUUUAGUUCAAAACCUGUCAAAGAACUCUCCUAAAAUGUUGCAGGCUCAAGAAAUUAAUUUCAAAUUCAGAGUAUUGCAUUUUAAAUUGACAAGUUCUUUUGAACAACUACUUACAGCUUAAACACAGCUUACAGCUUGUAUUAAUGACUAAGAUUAUGCAUAGUGAUGCAUCGUACAUAAAGGUAGGAUGUCCCCUAACUUUUUAGUCCAUCGUUUUUUCACCAACAUUCUGUAAUCUACUUAGUACAACUUCGAUAUGAGAACAUUGUGUUUUUAUGGACUAAGAAUUUAGUUAAAAGUGUGAACAAAGUUAUUUUGAAGCUGUACACCAAAGUGAGAAAUCAUGUAUCUCCAUUGCAGUGUUUCAAAAUUUCUGCUCCUAUUCCCCCCCCCCCUUUUUUUUGAAGCGAAGCAAGCCAACUAACUUUAUGACUUUAUGAAACUUGCGUAGAGUAUUCUGCUAAUUGUAAGAGUGAAGAAAAGUUAAGGAAACUUUCCAGGAGUUAUGAUGAGGAAUUUUCAGAAGAAAACACAUAGUAUGUUCGGAAGUCUGCAACGUGCAAACAGAGAUACCUGGUUUUGCUCUUAGGUCAUUGCCAUAGUUCUUAUGCAAGAACUUUUCACCACCAUAUUUCAGCAUAUGAAUUACAUUUCAUCAUCAAUAGAUGUUAAAUAGCUAAAAUAAAAAUAUUCACCCUGAUUUUCAAGAUUAAAUUUUCCAUUUGACUGGUACAUUUUUCAAAAAAAAAAAAAUCAGACCUCGUGAAUGAAUG
rnacentral:lncRNA from 1 species